ensembl:lncRNA
GCCAUGAUACAUCUGCAGGUCCUGGCUGACCUCGGCAUCAGAACCUAGACGCCCCAGGAGCCUCGCUGCUGCAACCUGUCCCUGACCACACCACAGACAGCCCUGGGCAGAAGACACAGCCAGCAUCUGAACUCAACAGCCAGGGACGUCUGGGGCUUUCAGGAGGACCUACAGUGAGAAACACUUUCUCUCUACAGAGGAAAGCAGUGUGCACGAAGAAAAGAAAACAGCGCUGAACCUACAUGUGUUCUGCAGACACGUGACGGAAGGUGCCCAAAAGUCUCUUGGGUGUUCUGCGCUGGUGGUGACACCAUGCCCUCCAAGGACGGCAACUCGAACACACACUGCUCCCCACGUGCCAUCAGCGGCCCAGCUGCAUGUGGACAUUGACUGGGAGAGGCCAGUGAGCCCUCAAUGGCCAUGGGGCUAGGCCAUGGCCACUAAGGGGACAACCCUCAAGCUUGGGGAAUUUGGUGCAGUCAUCCGAGAGACGAGACUGCUAUGAGUCAAGGUUAUAGAGGCCAGGAAAGGGGUGCCCAGCCCAGUCCCAGUGGCCUCGGGGCCUCAGCUCUGGCCUGGGGAUGAUGGAAGGAUUCCUCCACCCCAGGAUGCUAAUGCUCCAAGUUCCUGCUCUUACCUCCACCACCCCUGGCCCCACAAACUCAGCACCAGGAAGAAGGGGAGUCAGAGCUCAUGCGUCUCCAGUGUGAGGCAAACAGACCUAAAUACGGCACCCAACAAGGACCCAGAUCCCUAGGCCAGCCAUCUCCAUAUCUAGCUAUCUUAGGACAAAGUCUAAACUCCCUACCCGGCCCACAAGUCCCUGCAGACUUGGGCUUCUGCCAUUUGUGUCAACACUUCAUGCUGGAGCCAUCAUUCAGAGCGGCUCCUGCUCCAAAACGCCAUUCCCGCUUUGUUCCAGGUCUCUGACCAGGCGUUUCCCCUGCCCAGUACACCUUUCCACCCUUUUCAUCUGACCAAAUCCUGCUCAUCCUGCAGAUCCGAUAGACACUGCUUCCUCUGGGAAGUCUUCACUCAUCCCAAGUCGGAGCCAGGGACUAUACUCUGAGCCCAUAAUACCUCCUAAAUGCCAUGGCUGGGCUCAGCCCACUGAAUUCCAGAUGCCUAUUUCUUUGUUUCCCAGCAGACAACAAGCUCCAGGGGGCCAGAGUCAACAGAUCAUUGUACCUUGGUUCUCGGCUUGUACCUGCCUCUUAGGUUGCUCAUUCAAGACUGCGCCCAAAGUGAGUCAGAGCCCUGCCUGGGCAGGGC